GGGGGCUACUUAGGGCCGCCGGCGCGGGGGCUGGCGCGGACGCCGGCUGCGAGGCUGCGGCGCCGAGCGCGGGCCAUGGCGUGGAUGCUGGACUGCCUUUUCGCGUCGGCCUUCGAGCCCCGCCCCCGCCGUGUCAUCUGAGCAUGUCUAAGGCAGGUGUUAACAUCUCCAAACUACAGAUGAGAAAACUGAGGUUCAGAGAGAUGAAGUAACCCUCCCAAGAUCACACAGCAACCUAGAAGUGCAUCUUUGGAGUUAGAGCCUUGGAGCUUUCGGCUUCUUCAAAGGUGAAGUUUGUCCCCCAUUUCGCAGGAUGAGGUGCUGACCCAGGCCCAGCUGGCGGGGAAGCUUUAUGGAUGUUACAGCUGCUGCUCGUCUGCACACCAGGCUCAUUUGUGCCAGUUGAAAGGGCACAAUAAUAACAGUGGCAAUUUAAAUCGUGCUUCUUGCUUUCUGCUUCCCCCCUGAAAAGUGGCAAAGUGACUCACCACUGUUGAAUUGUCCCUCUCUAUCCACCCCCUGACCUCUCUGCGGCAGUCUAGGCUGGUUCCCUGGGGGGCUGAGCUGGAAAUCAGUUCUUCCAGCGGCCCUUUAGCUGUGAUGGAGCCAACCCCCCUCUC